UAGGAGUACAAGGGAGAAAGUGAAGGGCAGAUCCCUGCAUUGCCCAGAGAUGGCUUCAUGUUAGAAGUGGCUUUUGAGGGAGCUCCUGAAAGCAAAGGUAAAUCCAGAAAGGAGAUUCAGCCAGCCUGAUCCCUAUUCUGAUGCUCUGCAAUACCACAUGUGCUCUUUUAUGUUCUGAGUAGAACUUGAGUGAAGCUAUGGGAAAUGAGACAAAGGAUGGUUGGUUGACCCUUCUUAUAGCAUCUUGGAUGACUACCAGUAUCAGGAUCUAUAAACAGGGCUUCCCUUCAGAUAUAGCUUUUAUCUUGAUUGGCCAGAGAAAGACAGAUUGCUCCUUCACUGAUAAAGAGCUUUUUGAAGACUUACAUAACUCCUGCCGUAAUUUGGAACACAGUGCCUACGAAAAGGGGCCAAAUAUUGAGCUCUCAUUGUUAUAUGGACAGCUCUGUGCUUUCAGAGUAAUAUGGUGACAACAGAAAAAAUAACAAAAUAAAUAAUUUAAUAUAGCAUACUGCAGACGUAUCAAAGAAUUGGGCGUGCGUUCAUUCACUCUUGGCCUCUUUCCCCAGGGAGGGAAGAGGCUGCUGAAGCCUCCCCAUCUCAGAAAGUCCAACCAAAAAUUUGCAGAGAGUGCUGGCAGAGUGCUCACUUCCAGUCCUGCCACCAACCAACCCAUUCUGCGAAAAAUCUGGGCAGUAAUGCUGUUUCACGAAGUAAUUUAGAUGUUCAGAAUCUGUCGCACAGACAACGGGAAAAAUGUUUUCUAGUCAGGGCUCCCCUGUGCUCAGGUCUUUGUGAAUGUCCUGAUUCAAGCUCAGAAUUUCUAGUUUUAAUUAGUUGGAGGUUGACUCUAGCUGUGCUGUUUUAGAUCAUGGGUUUUGCACAGUGUGUUAUGUAAUUACAGCAGAGCUAGUGUUAGCUUUUAGAUUCUCUUUCUUUAAGAGCACUACUCAGACCCAGAAAAACUGAGGGGCUAGGGAGCCUCUCAGAACAAUAAUCUAUAAAAGAGACCAACCUAUCACUAAAAUAAAUUGGAAAUACAGCCUCAGUUAAACAGGGUAAAAUAUAAUUUGUCUCACUAUGUUUGGAAUAGAUAUUCUUCAAAUAGACAUUCUGGAUAUGGCAAACACACACACACACACACACACACACACACACACCCUCUGUUGAGUAUUUUGGUAAUGUAUAUAUGUAUGUGCUAAUUAGCAAUUAGUUGCUUCCAAUUGAAAUUCUGAAAUAAAGUAUAAUAUGUCGCACAACGCUUACUGAAGUGAAUAUGCUUUAUUAUUAUUAUUAUUUACAAUGUAAUACCCUUUAAU